rnacentral:lncRNA from 1 species
AGUAAAAGAAAUAAUAUAUAUCUUUAUAUACUAUAUAUAUCUUUAUUUCAAAACAUUUCAUUUGAGCUUCUCAUUUACUCCAAAUUUCUGAAUUCAAAGAAACUUCAAAAUAGCAAAAAGAAAAAAAAAAUCUCACCUUUUCAAAGCAUUGGAAAAGCUUUUUGCAUGUGACUGAUCUGUGGGAGAGCAGGUAAUUUAUGUUCAACAACUGAUUGACAUGCCCCCGGGUGCUUUCCUAGGAGGAACCACGGCUGGAACACUGUUCCUGAAGCAGGCACUUUUUCCCAAAGUGGACCUAACUACAGUGCCUCUCAUGAGGAAGGGGGGAAAAGCCCAUUUGAGUUACACUCUCCUGAUUCUUAGAUGCAGGGGUAAAGCCCCCUCGGCUGGCGGGUUUUCGGUUUCCCUGCAAACAGGGUUUGUCCUUCUGCUGAACUUUCACCCCCCACCCCCGAACUCGCCUUCUUUCAUUGGACAAAGUGCAGAAAGAGCAGGGAGAGACCGAGGGAGGCCGGGAGGGGUGGGGGUUGAAAACUGCACCCUCCCUCCGCAGCAACUGUCACUGAUGGCAGAACACUUUCACUUUUAACCGGAGGAAACUCACAUCCUCGCCUAUUCUCUCCUCUUCCUUAUGUAUUUUCAGCUCAGAAACCAAGCAAAUAGCCACCGUAUUCCCAAUCUUCAACUCCAGUUGGUAACACGCUCCCCUUCUCCAUUUUCUUGGCCUUUGAACAACCCCCUUCCCAUCUUCUGAGGAAUACCCCCCCUUCCACAUUCCCUUAUUUUCCAGGUCUUUCCAGCCAGAUGACUCUUUUGCCAGGGACUAUUCUGGCGUUCCCUUCCUCUCUCUUUGGUCUUCGGGGCUCUGCCUCUCUCUCUUCCCCAACUAGCCUGGAAGCCGGGCCCCCUCCCCUCAAUCCACAAUCCAUGCCCCCCUCCCUUUGCUCUGGCAAUUUCUUUUUCCUUUUCCCUUUUUUUUUUUUGCUGGAGCCCUGUUGUUUACCCAGCAGGUGGAUGUGACGUCAGGGACGCACAACAGCAAAAAAUAACAACAUCUCCCUCCGCGACGUGUUGGCCUCUCUCGCGCGCCUUAUUUAUUUAUUUGUUCCGGGAUGCCGGGAGGGGGGAGGGGAGCAGGCUCCAGAGCUCCCGGAGCCGGGAAGGGGGCGAGGCUCGCGCUCUAGGGGCUUUGGGGGGGGCCUCCCGGAAUGUGCGGGGUGGAGGCAGGGCCCGGGCUGGAGACCCGGCUGGAACAGGGGGCGCCCGGUCCGCGCUCCCCGCGCCUCCGUCGCCGCAGCUGGCGGGGCUCCGGGAAGCUAGUCCGGAGCGGAGGAAUCUAUUGUUAUUUAUUGUGUGGCGGUUGCAUGCUGUACUCGCGGCGGCCCGGCCCUCGCCUGGGAGUGCGUGUGUGCGCGCGUGUGUGCGCGAGUGUGUGUGUGCGCGGGGUGCGCGCGCGGGCGGGAGUAGGCACGCGCGGGGAAAGGCCCGAAAACACCUUAGUUUGCACCGAGAGACCAUUUGGAGCGGAACCCGAAAGUUUGCAAGAGGAAGAGAGCGCGCGGCGAGCGAGCGGGAAAGGGGUAGCGGCCGCGGCUCCGGGGACCAUGGUGCUGCGGAAGCCUCCUCCGCGGGCGUGAAGGCGGCGCUUCCACUCCCUCCCCGGGCUUCGAGGGGAAAAAUGCCCACUUCUGUUUGUGAAACUUUGCUGUACUUUGACGUUGAUGGUGACAAAAGAAAUCCAAGACAUAAUUACGCUGUUUGGAUGGCUGACCCAAACCUAGUAUCACGAAGAACAAGAAGCAGCUCUCAGAUUUGAGAAGAGGGGCCGUGGAGGACACUGGUGUUGGCUGGAUUGCAUGUGUCCCAGGCACUGCUUCUGACAAUUCCGGUUUCCGAACAAAAAGUUUUGGCAAUGGUGAGGGCUUUGAUCCCUUCUUCGAUUUGCUGUCAGCCAUAAGUGGAUGGAUGUGAUGCCUGCAAGCCAAAAGG